GUAGGUGAACCUGCGGAUGGAUCAUUCAUGAGAGGACUACUAUGCGCACUUGUUGCGCAUGUGUCCGACUGUCCUGUGCAAUGUUUACUGGUGUAACACUCUGGCGCACUACCAAUGUGCCAGAUGUUUUUUCUUUCAACUCAUUCAUAUUCCAUACAUUUCUGAUACAUACAUAAAGAACCUUGAAAACUGCCAGCAACGGAUCCCUCGGUUCUC
rnacentral:misc_RNA from 1 species